GGUAUUGUGGCCGAGUGGUCUAAGGCGCUCGACUCAAGUUCGAGUCUAGAAAUAGGCGUGGGUUCGAAUCCCACCGAUACCA